AUGACUAUAGGGAGUAUGUGAAUGAUCAUCGUAUGUGUUGUGUUCUUCCCUGUAACACCACUCCAACACAAUAGCUGGUUAUGUAAUGAAUGAUGUUGCAGUUGGAGUCCCAUGCUGCCAGCAAAGAAUUUCCAGAUAUGACCUGCAAAAUGUCCUUGAAGGAAGAUGUGUUCAACAUCAUCCCAUCCUUGCUGAAAACAACAGUAACAUUUCACAGGUUCCACUCUAAAAUUUGCUAAGGAUUCAUUUGUUGGUAAUUUAUAACGAAUAGCUCUCCAUAGAAGAAAGGACAUUUUAAAAGGUAUAUGUCUAUGCCAAAUUUGGGAAUUAAGGACUGCAG
rnacentral:lncRNA from 1 species